rnacentral:rRNA from 1 species
ACCAUGCUGAAUAUACCGGUUCUCGUUAGAUCACCGAAGUUAAGCAUCAUUGGGCGUGGUCAGUACUUGGGUGGGUGACCACCUGGGAACACUGCGUGCCGUU